rnacentral:rRNA from 1 species
AGCGAACGCUGGCGGCAGGCCUAAUACAUGCAAGUCGAACGCACCUUCGGGUGAGUGGCGGACGGGUGAGUAACGCGUGGGAACGUGCCCUUUGGUACGGAACAACUGAGGGAAACUUCAGCUAAUACCGGAUACGUGCGUGAGCAGAAAGAUUUAUCGCUGAAGGAUCGGCCCGCGUCUGAUUAGCUAGUUGGUGGGGUAAUGGCCCACCAAGGCGACGAUCAGUAGCUGGUCUGAGAGGAUGAUCAGCCACAUUGGGACUGAGACACGGCCCAAACUCCUACGGGAGGCAGCAGUGGGGAAUAUUGGACAAUGGGCGCAAGCCUGAUCCAGCCAUGCCGCGUGAGUGAUGAAGGCCUUAGGGUUGUAAAACUCUUUCGCCGGAGAAGAUAAUGACGGUAUCCGGAGAAGAAGCCCCGGCUAACUUCGUGCCAGCCGCCGCGGUAAAAC